UACGGGGGGGGCAAGCGUUGUUCGGAAUUACUGGGCGUAAAGGGCUCGUAGGCGGCCAACUAAGUCGGACGUGAAAUCCCUCAGCUUAACUGGGGAACUGCGUCCGAUACUGGAUGGCUUGGAUUUGGGAGAGGGAUGCGGAGUUCCAGGUGUAGCGGUGAAAUGCGUAGAUAUCUGGAGGAACACCGGUGGCGAAGGCGGCAUCCUGGACCAAUAUUGACGCUGAGGAGCGAAAGCUAGGGGAGCAAACGGG
rnacentral:rRNA from 1 species